GAUCCUGGCUCAGGAUAAACGCUGGCGGCGCACAUAAGACAUGCAAGUCGAACGGAAGUCGUUACGAAACGGGAUGAAGAUUUAUCUGAAUGAAGUUUUGUUAACAAUGGCUUUAGUGGCGGACUGGUGAGUAACACGUAAGCAAUCUACCUAUUAGAGGGGAAUAACAAUGAGAAAUCAUUGCUAAUACCGCAUAAGCUUGUAGUACCGCAUGGUACAGCAAGAAAAGGAGCAAUCCGCU
rnacentral:rRNA from 1 species